GACGUAGGGCGCGAGCGUUGUCCGGAUUUACUGGGCGUAAAGGGCGCGUAGGCGGCCCGCUAAGUCGAACGUGAAAUCUCCGGGCUUAACCCGGAAAGGUCAGCCGAUACUGCGGGGCUAGAGUGCAGAAGGGGCAACUGGAAUUCUCGGUGUAGCAGUGAAAUGCGUAGAUAUCGAGAGGAACACCAGUGGCGAAGGCGAGUCUCUGGACGACUCCUGACACUGAGGCACGGAAAGCUAGGGGAGCAACAGG
rnacentral:rRNA from 1 species